UGUUUGUACAGGUGUGUAGCGGACC
rnacentral:miRNA from 1 species